rnacentral:snRNA from 1 species
ACGGGUGUUGUCGAAUCCGAUG